rnacentral:rRNA from 1 species
UACGUAGGUGGCAAGCGUUGUCCGGAAUUAUUGGGCGUAAAGCGCGCGCAGGCGGUCCUUUAAGUCUGAUGUGAAAGCCCACGGCUCAACCGUGGAGGGUCAUUGGAAACUGGGGGGACUUGAGUGCAGAAGAGGAAAGCGGAAUUCCACGUGUAGCGGUGAAAUGCGUAGAGAUGUGGAGGAACACCAGUGGCGAAGGCGGCUUUCUGGUCUGUAACUGACGCUGAGGCGCGAAAGCGUGGGGAGCAAACAGG